CCUACGGGUGGCAGCAGUGGGGGAUAUUGCACAAUGGGGGGAACCCUGAUGCAGCGACGCCGCGUGGGUGAAGAAGCGCCUCGGCGCGUAAAGCUCUGUCAGCAGGGAAGAAAAUGACGGUACCUGACUAAGAAGCCCCGGCUAACUACGUGCCAGCAGCCGCGGUAAUACGUAGGGGGCAAGCGUUAUCCGGAUUUACUGGGUGUAAAGGGAGCGCAGACGGCGAUGCAAGCCAGAAGUGAAAGCCCGGGGCCCAACCCCGGGACUGCUUUUGGAACUGUGUGGCUGGAGUGUAGGAGGGGCAGGCGGAAUUCCUGGUGUAGCGGUGAAAUGCGUAGAUAUCAGGAGGAAAACCAGUGGCGAAGGCGGCCUGCUGGACGAUAACUGACGUUGAGGCUCGAAAGCGUGGGGAGCAAACAGGAUUAGAUACCCUGGUAGUC
rnacentral:rRNA from 1 species